CCCUUAGAUGUUCUGGGCCGCACGCGCGCUACACUGACGAAGUCAGCGAGCAUGUCCUACGCCGACAGGUGCGGGGAAUCUUGUCAAACUUCGUCGUGAUGGGGAUUGAUUAUUGAAAUUCUUGAUCAUCAACGAGGAAUUCCUAGUAAGCGCAAGUCAGCAGCUUGCGUUGAUUACGUCCCUGCCCUUUGUACACACCGCCCGUCGCUCCUACCGAUUGAGUGGUCCGGUGAGGCUUUGGGACUCGAGCGGAAAAAGCGUUUCGCUUGUUCUGCUUGGGAAACUCAGUCGAACCUUAUCAUUUAGAGGAAGGAGAAGUCGUAACA
rnacentral:rRNA from 1 species